rnacentral:tRNA from 1 species
AAAGAUACGUAACUAAAAGCUUCUAACUUUUAUGAUUUGGUUAAUCCCAUUUAUCUUUU